AUUGCUUCUCGGCCUUUUGGCUAAGAUCAAGUGUAAUAAUUUUAUUGCAAAUGCUAGUUGUCUAUUUAAAUAUUAAGUGUCUUACUUGUGUAAGGUGUUGAGUGUCUUUUUAAGCAGAUAGUGUAUUAUGUGUGGUAGAACACACAGA
rnacentral:snRNA from 1 species